GUGUAGUUGAGGAUGAACAUUGAAAAUCAUUGAGGAUGAGGGAAGAACUAUAAAGCAAAAAUGUCCAUUUACAGCAGAACUGAAGUGAUUAUCAAAACUGACUUGACUUGUAUAAUAACUCCCUCUAACUAGCUGAAGCUGAUAAGGAAGCCCAAACUCUGAAUGACUUUGAGUGAGGAUGGCAGAUCCACACUGGAUCUAACUACAGACAUUUUUAUGACCAAUGAACAAUGGGACAUGCAACAGUCUGCAGACCUGUGAACUCACUUUGUCCUACCCUGGGAGCCAGUUUUCAGUAAUUAACACAAUCAAUAUGCACCCCCCUUUCCUGGAACUUAAAAUCUCUGACUUCUCCUCUUCAGUGAACUACUUGAUUAAUUUAUUCAAUGGAUGUCUUCAGUUGCCACGCUAGUUGGAUUUUUGUGCUCUUUGAUGUGGAUUGUUCUCUCACUUGGAAAAAGGAAGAGUCAAGCUUUCUUCCCUACAGAAACAGUAAUACUAAUAAAGCUACUUUUUGUCUUGCCAAUUAAAAAACUGUGAGCAAUACUUCACCAGAGUCAAGUCUAUGUAAUCAAGCUAAGGGAGUUACAAAAGACUACAGGAAAGACCUGCUUUUUAAAAUAAUAUUUCCAUAGAAACUUCAGCACAGGUUAUCUGAGUAACCCCACUUUUCAAAAUAUCAAAGACUGAAAUGUGUGAGGUUUUGCAACUUGAAAUACACAAAAUAUGUUUAAACAUGUUACCUCAUUGUUAUUCACACCCGGAGGACACAAGGGCAGCACUGUAGCUUUGCCAAGGGAGGCUGAACCCCAUCUCUGGAUAUAUAUUAUGUCACAGAACAUUUGGUAAUACACAGAGCACUGGUAUAUCAGAAACAUCUCCCAAACAGAUGGAGGACAUAAUUAUAAUUUUGAGCACCAGAGGGGCACAGCAGACAAGUGAAGGGAUAACAAUCCUCCUACAGAAUGAGCUUCACCGCAAGUUGCAUCUCUACACGAACAUGUAAAUUCCGAGCAGCUUACCUGACUCACUGCAACAAAGAUGAUAAAGUUUGCAAGGAGGGGAAGUCAUGGAAGACUUCAGGGAAAUGCAGUAUGCAGCUGCUGCUCCAGCCUGUGAAUUGGACUGCACUGACAUUACAAUCAACUGUUACUGACAAAGCUCGCGAGAGUUGGCAGUAGCAACUUGAUCGAGACGCAGCCAAUCUUUACACUCUGACAUCUGUUCAGAGGCUAAUGGUAUGAAUGCAAUAGUGAUUCAUUUACAAAAGUAUUACCAGAUUCAUGCUUUACGAUU